AAACUCAUCAUGCAUCUCUGUGCUCUCCCACCACUAUACACAAGAAAUCUGUAUGCUAGUUUUAGGUUGGGGGGACCACGGAGUACAAUUUAACCUCCACAACAAAUGGGCUAACACCCUUAUCCACGAAACACAAUUCUAAGAAUUACUAAACUAAUGUUUAUGACCCGAUAUUCGAUCAAUGAACCAAGUUACCCUGGGGAUAACAGCGCAAUCUACUUCAAGAGCCCAUAUCGACAAGUAGGUUUACGACCUCGAUGUUGGAUCAGGGUAUCCUGGUGGUGCAGCCGCUACUAAC
rnacentral:rRNA from 1 species